rnacentral:rRNA from 1 species
CCUACGGGGUGCAGCAGUGAGGAAUAUUGGUCAAUGGACGCAAGUCUGAACCAGCCAUGCCGCGUGCAGGAAGACGGCUCUAUGAGUUGUAAACUGCUUUUGUACGAGGGUAAACUCAGAUACGCGUAUCUGUCUGAAAGUAUCGUACGAAUAAGGAUCGGCUAAUUCCGUGCCAGCAGCCGCGGUAAUACGGAGGAUUCAAGCGUUAUCCGGAUUUAUUGGGUUUAAAGGGUGCGUAGGCGGUCGGAUAAGUUAGAGGUGAAAUCCCGAGGCUCAACUUCGGAAUUGCCUCUGAUACUGUUAGGCUAGAGAGUAGUUGCGGUAGGCGGAAUGUAUGGUGUAGCGGUGAAAUGCUUAGAGAUCAUACAGAACACCGAUUGCGAAGGCAGCUUACCAAGCUGCUUCUGACGUUGAGGCACGAAAGCGUGGGGAGCAAACAGGAUUAGAUACCCGGGUAGUC